rnacentral:lncRNA from 1 species
GUUUGCAUGACACAAACUGCGUGUCUCCCGUAGAAGAACACCAACCAUCGCUCGCUCAUACUCAUCAGUGUGCAGCGCCUUCACCAGAACUUGGCAAUCGGACUCCAGCACCAGCCUAUGGACGCCCAGUUCGGCGCUCGCUUCUGUAGCCUUGACACACGCCAGCGCCUCCGCAUGUAAAGGAGUGGAGAGAUGCUCAAGGGUGCCCGCUUUUGCUGCCAAGAAAGCACCCUGGUCAUCACGAAUCACACAUCCCCAAGCACCCCGUC